AAAUGUCUCGUCGCCGCUCAGGUUUUGAUAUGCAGCCAUGUUUUGUUCCGCUGUCAAAGCCGGUGUCAAUGUGCAGCGAGAGCUGUAGUAGCAUACGCGUCAUUGAAGGACUGUUUGAAAUCUGAUUUGAGCGGCCAGGCUGAGACACACGUCUGGAAAUUCAACUUUAAUCGCAUAUCACAAACCACCGUUGAAGUGUGGUUUGAAUCUGAUAUGCAAAAAUAGGUUUCCAUGUGGUGUUUUGUUGUACAGACUUGAUAAGGGCAAUGUGAUUCCAUUCAGGAUAUGCCUUAAAUGUGAUCUGGGCUGUCGGUCUGAACAUAGCUAUACAUAUACACAUGAAUACCCAGGUCCGGGCUGAACACUGUACAUAAAUAUGUAUGUAAACUGACUUUAUACACACCCACACACACAUUUACACUCAAAUACACAGACACACAUACAAACAUGAGCCACAGCUGACCUCCUAUCUUCUUUUAUCUGGAUCAGGGAUUCUUCUCAACCCGCCUUAUUUUUCUGUUUGAUGGACUUUGGCGUAACACUAGGAAGGCCUGAUAUCCGAAGCCACUUUUACAGCCAACUAUGACCUCUCCAUGUCACGGCGUCUCAGCUGCUGUCUGCAGCCACCACAGUAUCUACUAAAAUUAUACGAUGACGGUCUGUGAAAGUUUUAUUUUAGUUUUUUUUUUUUCUAUCUGAAAGACUCUAAAGUUAGCCAUUGUGCAGGCUAACUGGUUGAAUGUUCUUUCUAGUGUUGAUAUUUGUACUUUUUUAGCUUACGUAUCCCCAUGUGGGAACAUGAAUGGUUGGUCGUAUUUACUGCCAGCUACUUUCGGGUGGAAAAUCUUUCUUUUCCCGAAACAUAUACAAUCACGAUAAAGUGCAGCACAUAUCAUUGAAGUAAAGAGAGGCUCUUCAAAAAGCAUUUUGCCUUUUGGAAAUAAUCACCAAAAGCUGGAAAACAGCCUGAAUAUCAGAUCCUCAGGGAAGCUGAUGCUGGAGGUUGACUCACUCGGUGCCAAAAGGGAUAACUAAAAUGAAAUAGCCCAUUCUGUAUAGAACAAUCAGCCAAAACAUUAACACCACUUGCCUAACAUUGUGUAAGUCCCCCUCGUGCAACCAAAACAAUUCUGACCCAUCGAAGCAUGGACUCUACAAGACCUCUGAAGGUGUCCUCUGGUAUCUGGCACCAAGAUGUUCGCAGCAGAUCCGAGUCCUAUAAGUUGUGAGGUGGGACCUCUAUGGACCGGACUUGUUUUUCCCCUGCACAUCCCACAGAUGCUUGAUCAGAUUGAGAUCUGGGGAAUUUGGAGGCCAAGGCAACACCUUAACUCUUUAUCAUGUUCCUCAAACCAUUCCUGGUUGUCCUUCCUUGGACCACGUUUGGUAGGUACUGACCACUGCAUACCAGGAACACCCUACAAGACCUGCCAUUUUGGAGAUGCUCUGACCCAGUCAUUUAGCCAUCACAAUUUGGCCCCUGUCAAAGUCGAUCAGAUCCUUAGGCUUGCCCAUUUUUCCUGUUUCCAACACAUCAACUUCAAGAACUGACUGUUCACUUGCAGCCUGUUAUAUCCCACCCCUUGACAGCUGACAUUUUAACAAGAUAAUUAAUGUUAUUCACUUACCUGUCAGUGGUUUUAAUGUUUUGGCUGAUUGGUGUUUAUAUACCCCAAAGCCCCUAAAUGCCUCAAAUUGUUGAAUUCAAUGGCAGCACUAUUGAUCACAGUCAGUUAAAUUCAAUGGAAAUGUAAAGGGGGGGGCAGCAUCUGACUUUCCUUGUCAUCAACGGCCGACAUUAUUGCCCGUGUUAAGGAAACAAUUGUUGAUCCAUGGGACAAGCCCAUUCAUCAUGAAAUUUAUUAAAUGCCCAAAGUGUUUUGUCUUCAACCGAAAAAUGAGCUGAAAAGUUGAUUUAAGGAACAUUGUUUCUUCUGGACACCGAUUAUUUCUGAGAUUGUCAAAGUGUAAAGCAAGGCAGCUCUAAUACAACAUGAGUGGUUCCAAUAGAUAAAACAGUUUAGCAGAUCUGUUGCACUUUGUCUCCUCUUGUAACUGGCAGAGAUUUCAUUUUCAGGAGGUUCUGCUCUGUUUAUGUAAACAGCUGUCAUGUAUUUGUAAUGGUAAGGUACCAUAUUCCUUCUUCACGCCUGCUCUUCUUGUUCCUGGUCACAUCCUUCAACUAAUGUUGUUUUAUUUUACUCUCUACCGCACAUACGUCCAUGAGAGAGGGUUAAAAUCCCAGAAGGAAAGAAAAUAUGUUGGUCUUUGUUUGUGUCCAAGAGCAGGUCAGCUAUUCGCAUUGUGUCUCUGUAAUGUCUUUGCUCUUCCUUCUUCAUGCUGUCAUCCUAAGAAGAAUCGUUCUUCUUGAAACUAGCACAGAGGCCAGCGAGAAAAAAAGGAUGUGCAAGUUGAGUCACUGAAAGAGACAGCUGAACAACAGGAUCCAGACAACAGUCCCAUCCAAUCAACAGCACCACCAAGUCAAGAGCCACAAACCCAAGAGACCCCUCCUCCAACCAGCCUCACUACCAGACCUCCAGAAAGCAACCCGACACAAAAUUCAAAAAUUGUGCUCCUCAUGGACUCAAAUGGGAGGAAGCAGAGGGAGGUCAGAAUGGCAGUCAGGAGGAGGUCAAGAGGACAGUGAACAGGCAAGACCUGUAGCAAAGAGAUAGCAGCAGCCCUUCUACAACCCCAGGAGGGACAGCUGCACGAUUUGCAGCCAGGAGACUGGAUUCUAGUGAAGGACCAGAGGAGGAAACAUUGACGUAAACCAUGGUGGCUGGGACCAUACAAGCUGCUCCUCACCACUGCCAUGGCAGUGAAGAUUGCAGAGAGAGCCACGUUGAUCCACGCCAACCACUGCAGACAGGCCCCUGGACUCCCGGGGGACAGCAGCCAACAAGAGAGGGAGGACAGUGGUGCAAAACCCGCUCCCCCCGCAGAGGAAGAGCAGCAGAUGACCUCAGCUUAAAGGAUCGACACCACCCACAGGUGGUAGCAGCAAUGUCAAGAAAUGGAUAGGAGGAGAUGGAGUUGGCAUGGCCACCCAGUACAUGGCUCUUCAGCAGAAAGAAGAUCAGUCACAUGAUGACCUAGACUAGACACCCCCAGGUUAUGAGUGGCAUGGCAGAACUGCUGAAGUGACACAGCCAGGUCAAGCCCCUGACAUGACUGUGUUUCCGUGAAACCUUGUACAACUGCUUUAAGUAAGAGUGCUCACUGAGUAUUGAAUGUGUGGCUGCAUAUGCACAUUUUAUUGUGUGAUAGUUGAAACUAUAACCUUAAAACUGUUCUUUUAUACCCUGCCAUUUAUAUACCACAUUAGGUUUCUGUGUUAUGCCUCCUGCGCCACGUUUGUUUUCUCCUUAAGUCAGUAUUAUAUGCAGAAAGGGAGGAAAUGUAAGGGGAAAACAAACUUGACUGAGGCAUAGUGGAAAGGUACUGAGGAAGUUAGCAAACUCAGCAGAGUGGGAAAAUACAAAAAAAAGGGUCUCAGUGAGGACAUUUACAGAGAUUUUCUUAUGAAGUUACCUAAACAGGAAUGGAAAUGGGAGCACGACAGAUAAGACCUCAUACAAUCCCUUUGUAGCUUGCUCAGAAAGCGUAUAAAGCAGGAGAAAAAACAAGAGACGGCGCGCACUUCUGUAGCUAUGCUUGAUGUGUGCCAUGCUUAAACAUGAAUAAAGUGUGAUAAUGCUCUGUAAUAAUCUGGUAAAACAAAUGUAAAACAUUAAAGGUGUC